CUAAGUGCGCUGUCUGCAUGACAAGGCUGUCCACACUGCUGGCUAUUGGGAUCUGUCUAUUGCCCAGCCAUGGACAAUGAUUCAAAUUCCCCAUCAUCAUGACAUAUGACAGGAGCAGGUCUCUGGAAACCUGAGAUGUAUGACUGGAAUCCUCUAUUCCCAUGAAGAAUCUAAUACCAUGGAAACGUGCAUGCUUCUUCACAAUCUGCCUCAUUCAACAAUUCUAUCACA